rnacentral:rRNA from 1 species
UCCAGACUCCUACGGGAGGCAGCAGUGCGGAAUAUUGGUCCAUGGUCGGGAUCCUGCACCAGCCACGCCGCGUGAGGGAGGACGGUACAGAGUAUCGUCCACCUCUUUUGUCCUGGAACAAAGCCUGGGACGCGUCCCCUUCUGAGUGUCCCUUCCGAAAAAGCCUCUUCUAACUCCUUUCCCUCAGCCGCUUUCCUCCGGAGGAUGCGCUCGUUAUCCGGCUUUAUUGGGUUUAAAGGGUGCGUAGGCGGAGUUUUAAGUCAGAGGUAAAAUGUCCGGGCUCAACCCGGGCCGGCCGUUGAAACUGGGGAUCUUGAGUGGGCGAGAAGGAUGCGGAAUGCGUGGUGUAGCGGUGAAAUGCAUAGAGAGAAAGCAGAACGCCGAUGGCAAGGCAGCAUACCGGCGCCCGACUGACGCUGAGGCACGAAAGCGUGGGGAGCGAACAGGAUUAGAUACCCCGGUAA